ACGCCUUUCCUGGGGCGCUAAAAUCAAAGCCUCAUUUUCACGCCUUUCCUGGGGUGCUAAAUCUUAGCGCCUUUGGAAAGGCGCUAAAAGGUCAUUGGAAAGCCGUUGGAUGGCUAAAGGCGCUAACAGUUUGAUGCCGAAGAAAGGAGAGAUAAAGGCGCUAAACUUUUAAAUCCAGAGCGAGGGGGCGUGAAACUUACAAAUAUUUGGAUAGCCAAUACCGGUCUUAGAGUAGAAGACAAAUUAUCUUGUACCAGUAUGAUGGUUGGGGAAAACAUACUCUUUUUAUAGGCUAUCAUUUCCUUACCAUUCCCAAGUGAGCAAGAAUCGUAUUACACUAUCAGUGAAAAUGUUUUUUUUAAAAAUAAAUGUCCUAUAACCACAACUCAACUUUUAAGUUGUGUCUUUGAUGUCAUGCUGUGAAUGCAAGAACAUCAACUACUAUGAUAAAUGUCAUACUAAGUGUGAAUGUUCAUGGUUUCACUUCCAUUUUAACCUAUCUGCAGCACUAACCUAUGUUAUUGGAGGUCCCAGUCCAUUUGAAGAAACAUGUCUCCAGAAGGGAUCUUGCCAAGUAAAUCGAUCCCACAAAACAUGUUGGCAUUUAAAAUAAUGUAGCUUUACACAAAUAGGAUUUGAGUCGCUUAUUGACAUGAUUGUGCAAAGAAAACACCUUAAAGAACUUGUCACAGACACAAAUGGGCACACAGCUCCUAAAGGUUUCUGCUAGAAUGUCUUGUUUGGUUUUUGUUGUUACUUGAUUAUUGGCAGAAUCGUCCACACGGGCGACUUUGUGAAGUGAGGCAGCAGCCGAUCCACCAACCGACAACCGACGGUGGCCGACGGUCGAUGACGCAACUACGCAAGAAUCAAAAUGGCGUAUCUGUGCAAAGUUUAUUUAUCGAUCUGAUCUACUUUAUUAUAGAAAGAAUUACCUGGGGUUUCUUGUGCGUUUGGGCCGCUGUUUUCGAAAUUAAGCCGAUGUAAUGGUACAUUAAAUUCCAUGCGUCGUGAAGUUGUGAGUACAAAUCUCGACAGUUGCGUUUGAUUAUCAACUGCACGCCGCUUUGCAGACACUAUUCUCUCUCUUAACUGCUUCGUAUCUAUUUCAUAGCUAAUGAAAACCUUCUCCCACUCUGUGCCUUAUUUCCGUACAAGUACUCUUUGAAUUACGUGCGACUGCAUUUCUUAUAUAUUGUGCUUGUUGUUUCUCCAACCCUAUUAUUGGUUAACCUCGAAAAUUUCCUACCAAUUGUUGCUAAUAUUAUGUCUUUUCAUUAUUUUUGUUUCAUGGUUUGCAAGUGAAUCUUCAACGAGGAAGCCCCUUAAUUCUGGAGCAUAAACAUCCCUCUCCACUUUCCAAUCUUCAAGGAUUGCCACGCAAACUUGGCUGCUGUGGUCAGUUGGAUGUUUGGAGAGCCAGUAGAGUUGGGAGGAUUGCAGUGAUGGCCUUUCAGCACUGAUACCGUCGGACAAGAUUGUUCAAUAUUUUGGAGAUGUUGACGUCUGAUCUAAAAGCAUGAUGUUAUGAACUGGUCACUGCGUGUCCAAUACUUCUCCUAAAUAAAAAUAACUGAAAGUUGUA